CCAAAAAAAAAAAAAAAAAAAAAGGAAAAAAAGAACAAUAUCGGCCGCUCUGCUGUGAACUGCAGACCCGCCGGCCGCGGCCUGUCUGUCCGCGUGUCUGUCUGUGGUGCUGCUCCCCCCGCCUGCGGGUCCCCUCAGCUCCAAGCCCGGCUCCCCUGAAGGCAGCUGCAAGCCAGGCGGCUCCUCCUCCGUAAAGGUGUAAGGAGUGCCAGUGAACCCCAGCAGCCUGCCUGCUUCCCGGCCCUUUCGCCGCCAUCCAGCCCGGGUGCGCUCCCUGGAGCGUGCAGUGCUAGGGCACCUCUGAGCCCUGCUCGCAGGGACUGCCCUGGAAGGAGGCUGUCUUCUGAGCUGCUACACGUUAUCUUCCCGGUGUCUUCCUGUGCUUCCUCAACCCUGGCGUUUUGUACCCUAGGAAGCUGGAGGAGCAACAGGAGGGAAAAGGAUGCAGCAGCCAGCAACUGGAGGAGCUAA
rnacentral:lncRNA from 1 species